rnacentral:rRNA from 1 species
UACCUCUUUCUCACGCGUUGUUCGGAUUCAUUGGGCGUAAAGGGUGCGUAGGUGGCGCCGUAAGUCAGGUGUGAAAUUUCGGAGCUUAACUCCGAAACUGCAUUUGAUACUGUGGUGCUUGAGGACUGGAGAGGAGACUGGAAUUCACGGUGUAGCAGUGAAAUGCGUAGAUAUCGUGAGGAAGACCAGUGGCGAAGGCGGGUCUCUGGACAGUUCCUGACACUGAGGCACGAAGGCCAGGGGAGCAAACGGG